UAUAUUUUUGUCACGUGACAAUAACUAAGCACCCUCUUAUCUAUUUUUGUCACGUGAAAUUCUUGCUCUGCCGUUAUGUAAUCGAUCCAACUCAAAUGUUUUAGAACUAAGUGUAUUCUCCAAUUUCCAUUGCAAUCAAUCCAGUAAAAUUAGCAAAUCAUAUAAUCUUCAACCGCUCAGUGCAAUCCUAUUAAAUCAGGAAGUGAUCACUCUGUAUCUUAUGAUGUAAACCAUAAUCGUCACAAACUUUCUCCAUAAUUAAGCUUUACAAUAUUGAAUUCAUCCCUAAUAAGCUCCACCACCUCUACAUAAGUGUUCGAUUGAAAAGCAGAUAGAGAGAGCGAUUGAAAUCUUCGGACUCAUCACCAUGUUCAGGUAACAUUUGAAAUGGAUUUGCCAAGCUUGGGUUCGGUUGUGGGGGAAUCAUACUUGAAUGGAUCAUAAGAUCAAACUUCAGUACCUAAAACUUUCAUGAACAAGAACCGAGCCAAAAAAAACUCUUUGAAGAGACAAACCAAGUAUCAUGCAUUUGUACGACUUGGCAGUUAGCAUUUGUCCCUAUUGCAACAAAUUGGGUCAAUUUGAGAGGGGAAACCAAGAAUUAUGAUCAUGUGUUGCAACAAAGUCAUGCCAACUACUUUUUGCAGAAUUUUUACUUUCUAUAAUAGUGGUUAUGUAUGUUCCUUUUAGCUUAUGUGUUAGGGGAGCAAUGGAAAAUAUGCAAAGAGCUUUUGAUGUCUAUCCAUACUAUAAAACGACAUUAAAUUAUCUGUCAAAUCACUUAUUCACCGGUCAACUUUUUGUGGUUUAGUAAUAGACUGAAACCGCCUUUGUUGCAAUUACUCGAGGACAUUGCA